GUUUUUAAAAAAAAAAAAAAAAAAGGAACGAGAGUUUAUGGUUAAUUUCUUUUAAGAAAAGCGUUACUGGCAUGUUGGCCCCUCCCGCUUUAUUAAGCUAGUGACGUGUUUCCGGUUAACUGUCAAACUCGUAGACUGUCAGUCGACGGGACAGGCUUGGACCAAAAACCAACGGACGGGCAGUUAAAAAUUGGUAGAGCAAGGCAGUCCAGAGAAAUGUCUUUUAUACUUGACUGGAUCUACAAGAGCUUCAGCAGUGUCCUGCAGCUAUUAGGGUUGUACAAAAAGAGUGGCAAGCUAGUGUUCCUUGGACUAGACAAUGCUGGAAAAACAACACUCCUGCACAUGCUCAGAGACGACAGGCUUGGACAGCACGUGCCAACGCUACAUCCAACAUCGGAGGAGCUGACCAUAGCUGGGAUGACCUUUACGACAUUUGACCUUGGAGGUCAUACACAAGCACGAAGGAUCUGGAAGAACUACCUCCCAGCCAUAAACGGUAUAGUCUACAUGGUGGAUUGUGCUGAUCAUGAGCGACUAGCAGAGGCUAAAGUUGAACUGGAUGCCCUGUUGACAGAUGAUACCAUCUCAAACGUCCCGGUUCUCAUCCUGGGGAAUAAGAUCGACCGUCCGGAGGCCAUCAGUGAGGAUGCACUCAGAGGAAUGUUUGGUCUUCAUGGACAAACAACUGGAAAGGGCAAAGUGUCACUGAAGGAGCUGAAUUUGAGGCCAAUGGAAGUUUUCAUGUGUAGCGUGCUGAAGAGACAAGGAUAUGGAGAUGGUUUCCGCUGGCUCUCCCAGUAUAUUGACUGAUGCACAUUAUUUUACCACGCUACCUGUGCACACAAGGACAUGUUACACACAAAACUACCUGCCAUAAGGAGAUAUUGUAUUAUAUACCAUAUUUAGGACUUCAACUGUGCCAGAAGGAAAUAUGUGUUUUGUGUUAAUAUACCCUGUAUUCUUUAUGAGUUCAAAGAAAUCAGUAUGCCAUAUUAAUCAUACCACAGCAAGUCAAAGAUUAAGUUAUGAAUCAUCAGUCUGUAUUGGUCAGAUUGCAUGUGGAGAAUAAUCUUCAUAGUGUGGUUUCCUUAACGUAAAGCCUGUAGAGAAUUCUGUCUGCCAUAUAGAACAUGUCAUCGCUGUGAACCAGUUUCUUACCCGGGUUUAUUUUUAGCUGCUGGUGUAGACUUACAGUGAAGGUCAAUUUUGUGAACAUUUUGUGCUUGGAGUUACUCUUCCUUGGUUAAGGAUGAAGAUUACAAUUAUAUCUUUAUAUGUAUCCUACUUCUUUCAAACUAAUGGGAAUCUCAAAGUAACAUAACAUUUUUCCCAGAACAGAAUAGUUUUUCUGGAAAGUGCUGCAGAGAUUUGGUGCCAUAUUUGUUAUCAAUGAAGGUUUACCACUAUAGGCCAAUUAUAUGAAUGCGACCACAAGUGCAUUAACUGACAUUUUGCUGUGAAGAGCUUUAUUUAAUAGCACAAAACAGUGUUAAAUAAUUGCAGUAUAUGCUAACUGCAUCAGCACAACCAGGUAAUGUAACAAACUCAGACUUGGAUGCAAAAUGACCUGUUUUCAUGAUGGUUAAUUGCUGUGAAACAACUUGAGUACUUUGUGAUUAGUGGCUGCUCCCAACACGCAGUGAUAUUAUGAGAGUACUUGAGUGAUGCUCAAAAAUAGGGCAUGCAAAAGAUAUGCAUGAAAUGACCUCUUAGUGCAAUAUUACACAUUAUUUUGUAUAUAAGCUCUUAUUUAUAUUUUGCAAUAAAAAAUUGGUUUGCCUUAUGUUACAUCAAGCAUCAAGCCCUGAAGUAAUGUAUCUGUUACAAAAGAUAGGUCAUAUUGUUAUUAAACGUGUGAAGUUUGAGCAUAAUAAAUAUUUUUUAAAAUCCU